rnacentral:rRNA from 1 species
GACGAACGCUGGCGGCGUGCUUAACACAUGCAAGUCGAACGGAGAUUAUUAAUGAAGCUUGCGAUUUAAUAAUCUUAGUGGCGGACGGGUGAGUAACGCGUGGGCAACCUACCCAUAAGCGGGGGAUAACAGUUGGAAACGACUGCUAAUACCGCAUAAGCUAUUAAGGUCGCAUGACCUAAAUAGUAAAGGUGGCAUUUUAACAAUGCUAUCACUUAUGGAUGGGCCUGCGUCUGAUUAGCUAGUUGGUGGGGUAGUGGCCUACCAAGGCAACGAUCAGUAGCCGGCCUGAGAGGGUGGACGGCCACACUGGGACUGAGACACGGCCCAGACUCCUACGGGAGGCAGCAGUGGGGAAAUUGCGCAAUGGGGAAACCCUGACGCAGCGACGCCGCGUGAGCGAAGAAGGCCUUAGGGUCGUAAAGCUCUGUUGUAAGGACGAAUGUUUGUCUGGCGAACAGUCAGAUAAAGUGACGGUACUUACCAGCAAGCCCCGGCUAACUACG